GCAUAUCAAUAAGCGGAGGAAAAGAAACUAACAAGGAUUCCCCUAGUAACUGCGAGUGAAGCGGGAAAAGCUCAAAUUUAAAAUCUGGCGGUCUCUGGCCGUCCGAGUUGUAGUCUGGAGAAGCGUUUUCCGCGUUGGACCGUGUACAAGUCACCUGGAACGGUGCGUCAUAGAGGGUGAGAAUCCCGUCUUUGACACGGAGCCCAAUGCUUUGUGAUGCGCUCUCAAAGAGUCGAGUUGUUUGGGAAUGCAGCUCAAAAUGGGUGGUGAAUUCCAUCUAAAGCUAAAUAUUGGCGAGAGACCGAUAGCGAACAAGUACCGUGAGGGAAAGAUGAAAAGCACUUUGGAAAGAGAGUUAAACAGUACGUGAAAUUGUUGAAAGGGAAACGCUUGAAGUCAGUCGCGUCGGCCGGGACUCAGCCUUGCAUUCGCUUGGUGUACUUUCCGGUCGACGGGCCAGCAUCAAUUUUGACCGCGGGAUAAAGGCGAGGGAAAUGUGGCUCUUCGGAGUGUUAUAGUCCUUCGUCGCAUGUCGCGGUUGGGAUUGAGGAACUCAGCACGCCUUUAUGGCCGGGGUUCGCCCACGUACGUGCUUAGGAUGCUGGCGUAAUGGCUUUAAACGACCCGUCUUGAAACACGGACCAAGGAGUCUAACAUGCCUGCGAGUGUUCGGGUGGAAAACCCGUGCGCGUAAUGAAAGUGAAAGUUGGGAUCCCUGUCGUGGGGUGCACCGACGCCCGGACCAGAACUUCUGUGACGGAUCUGAGGUAGAGCAUGUAUGUUGGGACCCGAAAGAUGGUGAACUAUGCCUGAAUAGGGUGAAGCCAGAGGAAACUCUGGUGGAGGCUCGUAGCGAUUCUGACGUGCAAAUCGAUCGUCAAAUUUGGGUAUAGGGGCGAAAGACUAAUCGAACCAUCUAGUAGCUGGUUCCUGCGA
rnacentral:rRNA from 1 species